rnacentral:rRNA from 1 species
AGUCGAGCGGACCUGAWGGAGUGCUUGCACUCCUGAUGGUUAGCGGCGGACGGGUGAGUAACACGUAGGCAACCUGCCCGUAAGACCGGGAUAACUACCGGAAACGGUAGCUAAUACCGGAUAAUCAAGUCUSUCGCAUGGGAGGCUUGGGAAAGGCGGUUCUGAAUUUAUUCARGGSUGUSACUUACGGAUGGGCCUGYGGCGCAUUAGCUARYUGGUGGGGUAACGGCUCACCAAGGCGACGAUGCGUAGSCGACCUGAGAGGGUKAACGGUCACACUGGGACUGAGACACKGCCCAAACUCCUACGGGAGGCAGCAGUAGGGAAUCUUCCGCAAUGGACGAAAGUCUGACGGAGCAACGCCGCGUGAGUGAUGAAGGUUUUCCKGGAUCGUAAAGCUCUGUUGCCAGGGAAGAACGUCUUCUGGAGUAACUGCCAGGAGAGUGACGGUACCUGAGAAGAAAGCCCCGGCUAACUACGUGCCAGCAGCCGYGGUAAUACGUAGGGGGCAAGCGUUGUCCGGAAUUAUUGGGCGUAAAGCGCGCGCAGGCGGCUGUUUAAGUCUGGUGUUUAAUCCUGGGGCUCAACCCCGGGUCGCACUGGAAACUGGACGGCUUGAGUGCAGAAAGAGGAGAGUGGAAUUCCACGUGUAGCGGUGAAAUGCGUAGAGAUGUGGAGGAACACCAGUGGCGAAGGCGACUCUCUGGGCUGUAACUGACGCUGGAGGCGCGAAAGCGUGGGGAGCAAACAGGAUUAGCAUACCCUGGUAGUCCACCGCCGUAAACGAUGAGUGCUAGGUGUUAAGGGGUUUUC